ACCCGAUCUAAGGACGUUUGUUGGGCCAAGCCCUUGUUUCGUCCCAGCCAGGCCACUCUGGCGAAAGCAUCCUGGGAAUUCGGCCUGCCAACACAAAGAGCAUUUCCUUGUGUGGGUUUCCUGUUUAGGUCUGCGUAGAAACCCGGCGGAUCGCGUGGCCUCGUAAAUCCCCCAGACGUUACUGAUGUAGAUGCUUUGGCCGGCUGCCAUGGGAAAAUCGCACACAAAUAGAAGAAGGGCGGGGGGAGCACAUUCACUCUCGAGUUCUGGUGGGUUCCGGGCUCCGUGUGUUUGGAUCUGUAAACGGAGGGGGUUGGGCUCACCACGAUGAUCAUUUAAGGUCCUUUCCAGCUUGGACAUUCUCAGAUUCCACUUCCCUCCAGAGGGCCACCCGGAGCUCUCACUGUCCGGCUCAGGGACGGGGUUCUGCGGAAACAGAAGCAGGGGGAAGAUCUCUGGCUGAAAAUCCGGAAGCUUCUCCAGCAUAUCCUAUGGGCUCCUUCACAGAAAGAAGUUUCUGCAUCUGUCCAAUGGGCAUUCAGACUCGUUGGCUUAAUGGAAGAAGCCGUGUUUGCAUUCCUCUUCUGAGGCCGAACCCCCAGACGCUCUGGCAGAUUCCACGUGGAGUCUGACCAGACGUGAGUAUGGCUGGGAAAGGGACAGGGCAGGCACAGGAUUUCUGCCCGAAGGUUUUCCUGUCCACCGUGCUGUGUUCCAGUGAGGAUGUCCUGCUUUUCUCAUACUUCUAUGAGAUCGCUCGCUUCGAAUGCAGCGUGGCUCUGGUCUUCGGGCUCUCAGGCAUGAAUUGUGACGCUUGUCUGUAAACCUCGUUCCCUUGGACACGUCCUUACAGGAGCUGAUAAUGAAGGAAGGAAUCAGCGUUUCACGGGACACAUGUUGGGAAAUGCUCCUUUCAGCCAAAAGAGUGUCCGGACCCUUGCACAGUUUCCAUUGCUGAUGGGACCUUCUGAGCACUGUCAACAUACCCACAGAGAAGGGGUUUCCAACUCACGUAAUCACACUCUCCAGUCAGAUGUGGAACAAGAAAAUACUUCCCAGAAAUGCAAAGAAGAAAACAAACCAAGUUCAUUGCCUUGGGUAACAUGAGUUCUUGCCCAUUUGAAAGUGGGAUCUUACUCUUCCUAGAAGAGCUCUUUCUAGAUUUCUUCUAGAAAGAGAGGACACGCCAUACCUUAGACAGUGUAGUUACGGGCAGGUGCUCUAUCACCUGGUACUGAGUCCCACUGCCAUCUACAAGAUUUAACAAUCAGUUGUAAGAACAUCUAACGUGAAGAAAUGUUUAAGAACUCAAGGGGUCUCUUAGGAUUGGAGGUCCAUCCAUUCCUGGAAAGGUUGAGAUAAGUCACAUGAUGCCUUUUCUGUAACCCCAACAUUUCUCCAAGGAAAUCUUUGAAGUAAAAAGUUCACAAAGGAGUAGACUGAGGACUGCAGCGGAGACAGUGGGGGGGGGGGGGGCGCAAGGGGAUGUUCCACGGUUCCCUUCACUGUAGAGGCUGUUGGGAACAGGGGUUCAGUAAAGCAGACUGGAAUUUCCAGUAUCUGGUGCAUGGAUAAUGUUCUUUCACCUUUGGAGGUGUCCUUAGGUGACUGGACAGUGAGUAGAAGGUCUCAAAAAAGAGUCUGAUAUAGCAUCUGCCCUAGACCAGGAAGGAUGGGGCCAGGGCCCAGGAAAUGGGUUUAGGCCCAGAACGAACAUCUUUGUCCUCAGUUCUGUUAAAAGAUGGUGUUGGGGCGCCUGGGUGCCUCAGUCAAUUGGGCAUCCGACUUUGGUUCAGGUCAUGAUCUUGCAGUUUGUGAGUUUUGGCCCCGUGUUGGGCUCUGUGCUGACAGCUCAGAGCCUGGAGCCUGCUUUGGAUUCUCUGUCUCCUCCUCUCUCUGCCCCUCCCAUGUUCAUGCUCUGUCUCUGUCUCUCAAUAAUAAUAAAUAAAUGUUAAAAAAAAAUAAUCCAGUGAAGAAAUGGGCAAAAGACAUGAAUAGACACUUCUCCAAAGAAGACAUCCAGAUGGCCAACCGACACAUGAAAAAAUGCUCAAUGUCACUCAUCAUCAGGGAAAUACAAAUCAAAACCACAAUGAGAUGCCACCUCACACCUGUCAGAAUGGCUAACAUGAACAACUCAGGCAACAGCAGAUGUUGGCGAGGAUGUGGAGAAAGAGGAUCUCUUUUGCAUUGUUGGUGGGAAUGCAAACUGGUGCAGCCAUUCUGGAAAAAAGUAUGGAGGUUCCUCAAAAAUUAAAAAUAGAACUACCCUACGACCCAGCAAUUGCACUACUAAGUAUUUAUCCAAGGGAUACAGGUGUGCUAUUUCAAAGGGGCACAUGCACCCCAAUGUUUAUAGCAGCACUAUUGACAAGAGCCAAAGUCUGGAAAGAGCCCAAAUGUCCAUCAAUGGAUGAAUGGAUAAAGAAGAUUGGUAUAUAUAUAUACCAAUAUAUAGGUAU